CCAUGGGAGAGCACGGUGCCUCAGGAAGCCCUGGUGCUCCUGGUGUAAAAGGUUUCCAGGGUGAAGCAGGAGCUCCAGGAGCAAAAGGUGACCGAGGAACCCCUGGACUGCCAGGAAUCAAAGGAGAACAGGGAGAGAGGGGACCACGUGGACCAACAGGUG